AAGCAGGAGGUGUCAGAAAAGUUACCACAUGGAUAACUGGCUUGUGGCGGCCAAGUGUUCAUAGUGACAUCGCUUUUUGAUCCUUCGA
ensembl:miRNA